GACGAACGCUGGCGGCGUGCUUAACACAUGCAAGUCGAACGGAAAGGCCCUGCUUUUGUGGGGUGCUCGAGUGGCGAACGUGUGAGUAACACGUGAGUAACCUGCCCUUGACUUUGGGAUAACUUCAGGAAACUUGGGCUAAUACCGGAUAGGGGCUCCUGCUGCAUGGUGGGGGUUGGACAGUUUCGGCGGUUGGGGAUGGACUCGCGGCUUAUCAGCUUGUUGGUGGGGUAGUGGCUUACCAAGGCUUUGACGGGUAGCCGGCCUGAGAGGGUGACCGGCCACAUUGGGACUGAGAUACGGCCCAGACUCCUACGGGAGGCAGCAGUGGGGAAUAUUGCACAAUGGGCGGAAGCCUGAUGCAGCAACGCCGCGUGCGGGAUGACGGCCUUCGGGUUGUAAACCGCUUUCGCCUGUGACGAAGCGUGAGUGACGGUAUGGGUAAAGAAGCACCGGCUAACUACGUG
rnacentral:rRNA from 1 species